UGGUGGAGUGAUUUGUCUGGUUAAUUCCGUUAACGAACGAGACCUCAGCCUGCUAAAUAGUUAUGCGAAUCUUUCUGCCAAGGUGGUGCUGGCCUGUGCUGUUGGGCUUGCCUGGCGGUGCAGUUCGCUGGCGCGCCUAGUCAGAUUCGUAGACAACUUCUUAGAGGGACUAAUGGUGUUUAGCCAUUGGAAGUUUGAGGCAAUAACA
rnacentral:rRNA from 1 species